CAUCAUUGAUGAUCACACGGUAAAUUUGCAAAACACUAAUGGACACAGCAUUAUGAUGACAUGGUCAUUUGUAAACCACUAAUUAUCACAUCAUUGAUGAUGACACGGUAAAUUUGCCAACCACUGAUUGUCACACCAUUGAUGAUGACAUAGUAAAUUUGGAAACCACUGAUAGACACAUCAUUGAUUGUGACAUGGUAAAUAUACACCCCAUUUAUGGUGACAUUAUGAAUUGAAAA
rnacentral:lncRNA from 1 species